GAUGAAGAACGCAGCGAAAUGCGAUAAGUAAUGUGAAUUGCAGAAUUCAGUGAAUCAUCGAAUCUUUGAACGCACAUUGCGCCCGCCAGCAUUCUGGCGGGCAUGCCUGUUCGAGCGUCAUUAUAACCCCUCAAGCUCAGCUUGGUGUUGGGGCCUGCUGCACUGGCAGCCCUUAAAAUCAGUGGCGGCGCCAUCUGGCUCUAAGCGUAGUAAUUCUUCUCGCUAUGGAGUCCUGGUGGAUGCUUGCCAUCAACCCCCAAUUUUUCUAUGGUUGACCUCGGAUCAGGUAGGGAUACCCGCUGAACUUAAGCAUAUCAAUAAGCGGAGGA
rnacentral:misc_RNA from 1 species